CUGUGCAUAUACAGUAGCAAUUUUAUCUUACAGUAGUUAAAAAAAAAAAUUGUUGUAUCGCUAAAUCUUAAUUAUAAUAAUACUACUAUUCAAAUUAGUGAAGUUCAACUUUACUGGUAACUUUCAGUUCUUCCCUCCCUGUUGGCUGCUCUUGGCGGAUCAACCAUGCACACGCAGCUGUAUGAACCCUCCAAGGGAAUUGGGAAGAGCGAGAGAGAGAGAGAGAGAGAGAGAGAGCACGUGAAGCUGCUGCAAGGAAGGAAAGAAAGAUGGAAGUGAAUUGAAACAGUGACAGGGUAGGUUAAGGUAGGGUUAAUUGAUGAUCUGAGAUGCAUUGGUGUUAAUGAAGAACAGAGAAGAUGGGGAAGAGACGAAGAGUCACGAGUGCUCCUCCAUCAUGGUGGACUCUGGUAAAUUUCAGAUUGCUAGCCUGCCAUCGACCCAACUCCACCCCCCAUGCUGCUCCUGCCCACCCCAUUCGUAAAUAGCUUGCACACACGCAGUCAAAAAAUAAAAAUAAAAAUGAAGGUUGAUCUCAAACUCGACCACCUAUGCUUGGAAGGGGUCUGUGUAAUCAGAGAAGUUAAUUGUGUUGAUUUCGAUUUUUACUAUUAUUUUCAAAAUUAAUUAAUGAACUCAAGUAUUAAAUUUAGG